rnacentral:rRNA from 1 species
UACGAAGGACCCGAGCGUUAUCCGGAUUUAUUGGGUUUAAAGGGUGCGUAGGCGUCCCUAUAAGUUACGGUUGAAAUCUCCUCGCUCAACGAGGAAACUGGCCGUAAAACUGUAGGGAUUGAGUGCAUUUGAAGCGGGCGGAAUGUGUCAUGUAGCGGUGAAAUGCUUAGAUAUGACACAGAACACCGAUUGCGUAGGCAGCUCGCUAAACUGUAACUGACGCUGAGGCACGAAAGCGUGGGGAUCAAACAGG